rnacentral:lncRNA from 1 species
AGUUUUUUGUGUAUCCCAUUAAUAUUCUCAAAAAAUAAAGCUGAAAAAUAGUGAAAUGUGAGCAACCUGGCUUGACUCUAGAGUUGCAGAGCUAGUGUAUAUUCACCUGGAGAACAAGAGAGCUUUGUCUUCAGGGUUGCAGUCAUACUGGUAGUAGUGGUGCCCUGGAGGGAGAUGGACCAGUUGAAUUGGAGGAGUAAAUCCCGGGCUCGAACCCGAGCAUGCCAGCGAGGAGGACGAGGAAGCCACAGAGGUCCUGGAUUGGGCGAGAGCAGUUGCGGCGCUACCCUGCUGCUCUACAGAGGAAUACAGCAGCGUGAUGGAGGAGUUUGCAGCUCUGCGGCCGGGUGUUGCGGACUGUUGCAUCAGAUGAAACGCU